UUUGAGGCGACCACUCGAGUCACCGUCUUACCCGCGUCGAUGGCUCGGGCAUUCCCAAACCGGAACGCCGAGGGAUCGAGUCGGCUCCUCCUCCUCAUAGCCGCCAACAUGCUCAUCGCGUCGUGCGUCUCCGUCACUCGCUCCCUCCCCACCCGGCUCUCUUACGCCCCUCGCCAUCUCUGCCUCCUCGCCGCCGCCUCCCCCAAACCCGUCCAGAACAAAUCCUUUCCUUGCCCUCUUUGGUCCGCCUCCUUCUCCUUCUGCCUCGACCGCCGCCCGAAAUCCACCACCUCCUCUGCCGCCCCCCCGCCCUCUUCCAUGGCCUUCGCUGCCGACAGCCUUGAUUCGAACCCCCUCCUCCACGACUUCGCCUUCCCCCCCUUCGAUGUGGUCGAGCCGAAACACGUCCGCCCCGGGAUCCGCGAGCUCUUGAGGAAACUCGAGAGCGAUCUGGAGAAUCUGGAGAGGACGGUGGAGCCGACAUGGCCGAGGCUGGUGGUGCCGCUGGAGAAGAUCAUGGAUCGACUUCAGGUGGUCUGGGGAAUCGUGAACCAUCUGAAGUCCGUCAAGGAUUCGCCGGAGCUCCGAUCUGCUAUCGAGGAAGUCCAGCCAGAGAAAGUGAAGUUUCAGCUGAGGCUGGGACAAAGUAAGCCUAUAUAUGAUGCAUUUAAGGCGAUUCAAAAUUCUUCAUCAUGGUCAACCCUAAGCGAUGCCCGUAAACGUAUAGUGGAAGCUCAGAUCAAGGAAGCUGUUCUUAGCGGUGUUGCCCUUGAAGAUGAACAGAGAAAGAAGUUUAAUGAAAUUGAACAAGAGCUUGAAAAACUAUCUCAAAAGUUUAGUGAAAAUGUUUUGGAUGCUACAAAAAAAUUCGAGAAAUUAAUUACUGAUAAGAAGGAAAUCGAAGGAUUGCCAGCUACUGCACUUGGUCUGGCAGCACAGACCGCUGCGUUAAAGGGUCAUGAAAAUGCUUCUGCUGAAAAUGGGCCAUGGAUGAUUACUUUAGAUGCUCCAAGUUAUAUUCCUGUCAUGCAACAUGCAAAGAACCGCUCUUUGCGGGAAGAAGUUUAUCGUGCUUACGUCAUGCGGGCAUCUAGCGGAGAUCUUGAUAACACUCCUAUUAUUGGUCAAAUUCUCAAAUUGAGGCUGGAAAAGGCUAAAAUUCUUGGAUACAAGAACUAUGCUGAGGUCAGCAUGGCAAUGAAAAUGGCCACAGUUGAUCGUGCAGCAGAGCUUCUCGAGAAAUUGCGUAGUGCUUCUUGGGAUCCUGCUGUUCAAGAUAUGGAAGACCUUAAGACUUUUGCUGGAAAUGCUGGUGCUGCCGAAGCUAAUCAAUUGACCCAUUGGGAUAUUACGUUCUGGAGUGAAAGGUUACGGGAGUCAAAGUAUGACAUAAAUGAGGAGGAACUGCGGCCAUAUUUCUCACUGCCAAAGGUUAUGGAUGGUCUUUUUGGCCUUGCUAAGAAGCUUUUUGAUAUUAAUAUUGAAACAGCAGAUGGGCUAGCACCGGUUUGGAAUAAUGAUGUUAAAUUUUACUCUGUCAAAGAUUCUUCAAACAAUCCAAUUGCCUACUUCUACUUUGAUCCUUAUUCACGGCCUUCUGAAAAGCGUGGUGGAGCUUGGAUGGAUGAGGUGUUUGCUCGUAGUUAUGUACUUGCACGUGAUGGUGCUCCUGUUAGGUUGCCUAUUGCACAUAUGGUGUGCAAUCAAACACCACCUGUUGGUGACAAACCUAGUCUAAUGACAUUCCGUGAGGUUGAGACUGUGUUCCAUGAAUUUGGUCAUGCACUUCAGCAUAUGCUUACUAAACAAGAUGAAGGGCUAGUUGCGGGAAUUCGGGGUAUAGAAUGGGAUGCGGUUGAGCUUCCAUCACAGUUCAUGGAAAACUGGUGCUAUCAUAGGAAUACUCUUAUGAGCAUUGCAAAGCAUUAUGAAACUGGUGAACCUCUUCCAGAAGAAGUGUAUCAGAGGCUUGUUGCUGCUAAAACAUUUCGUGCUGGCUCUCUGAGUCUUCGCCAGAUAAGAUUUUCCAGUGUAGAUCUGGAACUUCAUACCAAAUAUAUUCCCAAUGGACCUGAAUCUAUCUUUGAUAUCGAUCAAAGAGUUGGAAGAAUGACACAAGUUAUCCCUGUCCUUCCAGAGGAUAGGUUUCUUUGCAGUUUUAGUCAUAUAUUUGCAGGUGGAUAUGCAGCUGGAUACUACAGUUACAAGGAUUUAUCUCCAAACAUAUCUACUGUUCAGUGGGCUGAGGUGUUGUCAGCAGAUGCUUUUUCAGCUUUUGAGGAUGCUGGAUUAGACAGUGAUAAGACCAUCAGGGAAACUGGUCACAGGUUUCGGGAAACCAUUCUUGCACUUGGAGGUGGAAGAUCUCCACUUGAGGUCUUUGUUGAGUUCCGAGGCCGCGAACCUUCACCAGAACCGCUGCUUAGACACAAUGGCCUGCUGCCAGUACCUGCCUCUGCUUGAUCCAUGACCGUUGGACGAACAUGUUUCAAGAAUUGUCGACAAUUGAUUCAGUGCACCUGGUGCAUCUCCCGAAAAACUUUCACAAAAACAAUAAGGCAAAAGGGUUUAUCCACAUGGUUGCCGUGGUUCGAUGGCAGAAUCGAAACCGUGAUUAAGUGUGUAAGGCUUUCCUCUUCCGCGUUGUGGUCUCUUCUAUUACCUCUCGUUAUCUUGGUUUCUUUAUAUGCCUUGCUUCUUUC